AACAUGCUUUAGAGUGGGGGAUAGCUUCUAUGGUUUUCAGGUGAGCUACAUGCAUGAGAUAGGUGCCAAAAAGACACCACCACCUCGCCAUGGUGAUGGUUGAGAUGGAGACUUCUUCUAAGCAAGGAGUAGAAGAGCAGUGGAAUGGGUGGGGUUGGUAGAAGCUUGGAGAGGAAGGAAAACAGUGGAAAAAUGGUUGAAUGUGAAAAACAGGGAGGGAAAGAGAUUUAGAAAAACAGAGAGAGAAGAGAAGAGGAAAAAGAGGACUUUGGCUUAGUUUUAAGAGGGGGGCUACAGAAUGAAGUGUUGGAAGUCAAGCCAUCCUUGCUCGAGUGGAGUUAUUCAGUUGGGUCAAGACUAGCAAAGGAGUCCAUGGUAAGAUGUUUGAUGGGUUAGUUUUCUUGGGUGGAUACCAAGGUCUCCCGUAUAUCUCAUAUUCCAAACCCUCUGAAAAUAGCCAGUGCCGGAAUCCACCCCUACCACUAGCAGUGGCCGCCGCCCCCGGCUCUUCCACCUUCCGACGAGGUACGUACGAUCUUCAUCUCAGGUCUACCUGAGGACGUGAAGGAAAGGGAGCUCCAGAAUCUGCUAAGGUGGCUUUCGGGAUACGAGGCUUUGUAGGUGAAUUUCAAGGGGGAGCAUCCCAUGGGUUUCGCGUUUCUCUCCACUCCUCAACUCGCGGUGACAAUUCUUAUGCAACGAGAAGGAGGUUGCAACUUGCCUCCAUUUUCUAGCUAAAGAUAGCUCCCAAUGCCUGCAAGCCAUAACCUUCAGAAAAAUCAAUUAUGAGGUUGCUACACUAGGCUACUCAACAAAUCUUCAACCUGCAAAUACUCAAGUAUAUGAUUUGGAGACGCCAUUGAAAUUGAUGGAGAAGGAAAGGAAUGUACUGAAGCUAAUUGAUAUUCUUUGAAUUUGAUGACCAUAAUGAAGCUACUACAGGACCCACUUGAAAGAGACCACCAAAUUCUCCACCCCUGGUUGUAUUUGGCCACAUGCAUAAAGAGCUAGCACAUGGAAAUGGUCAUAUAAAAAUGAUUGUUGUUGGGAAAGACAACACCACAUACCUUUGGUGGGCAAGCACAUGCCCUUAUAUUUUUAUUAUUAUUAUUAUUAUUCUUUAUCAUCA